UUUAUGGAGAGUUUGAUCCUGGCUCAGGAUGAACGCUGGCGGCGUGCCUAAUACAUGCAAGUCGAGCGAACGGACGAGAAGCUUGCUUCUCUGAUGUUAGCGGCGGACGGGUGAGUAACACGUGGAUAACCUACCUAUAAGACUGGGAUAACUUCGGGNAACCGGAGCUAAUACCGGAUNNNAUUUUGAACCGCAUGGUUCAAAAGUGAAAGACGGUCUUGCUGUCACUUAUAGAUGGAUCCGCGCUGCAUUAGCUAGUUGGUAAGGUAACGGCUUACCAAGGCAACGAUGCAUAGCCGACCUGAGAGGGUGAUCGGCCACACUGGAACUGAGACACGGUCCAGACUCCUACGGGAGGCAGCAGUAGGGAAUCUUCCGCAAUGGGCGAAAGCCUGACGGAGCAACGCCGCGUGAGUGAUGAAGGUCUUCGGAUCGUAAAACUCUGUUAUUAGGGAAGAACAUAUGUGUAAGUAACUGUGCACAUCUUGACGGUACCUAAUCAGAAAGCCACGGCUAACUACGUGCCAGCAGCCGCGGUAAUACGUAGGUGGCAAGCGUUAUCCGGAAUUAUUGGGCGUAAAGCGCGCGUAGGCGGUUUUUUAAGUCUGAUGUGAAAGCCCACGGCUCAACCGUGGAGGGUCAUUGGAAACUGGAAAACUUGAGUGCAGAAGAGGAAAGUGGAAUUCCAUGUGUAGCGGUGAAAUGCGCAGAGAUAUGGAGGAACACCAGUGGCGAAGGCGACUUUCUGGUCUGUAACUGACGCUGAUGUGCGAAAGCGUGGGGAUCAAACAGGAUUAGAUACCCUGGUAGUCCACGCCGUAAACGAUGAGUGCUAAGUGUUAGGGGGUUUCCGCCCCUUAGUGCUGCAGCUAACGCAUUAAGCACUCCGCCUGGGGAGUACGACCGCAAGGUUGAAACUCAAAGGAAUUGACGGGGACCCGCACAAGCGGUGGAGCAUGUGGUUUAAUUCGAAGCAACGCGAAGAACCUUACCAAAUCUUGACAUCCUUUGACAACUCUAGAGAUAGAGCCUUCCCCUUCGGGGGACAAAGUGACAGGUGGUGCAUGGUUGUCGUCAGCUCGUGUCGUGAGAUGUUGGGUUAAGUCCCGCAACGAGCGCAACCCUUAAGCUUAGUUGCCAUCAUUAAGUUGGGCACUCUAAGUUGACUGCCGGUGACAAACCGGAGGAAGGUGGGGAUGACGUCAAAUCAUCAUGCCCCUUAUGAUUUGGGCUACACACGUGCUACAAUGGACAAUACAAAGGGCAGCGAAACCGCGAGGUCAAGCAAAUCCCAUAAAGUUGUUCUCAGUUCGGAUUGUAGUCUGCAACUCGACUACAUGAAGCUGGAAUCGCUAGUAAUCGUAGAUCAGCAUGCUACGGUGAAUACGUUCCCGGGUCUUGUACACACCGCCCGUCACACCACGAGAGUUUGUAACACCCGAAGCCGGUGGAGUAACCUUUUAGGAGCUAGCCGUCGAAGGUGGGACAAAUGAUUGGGGUGAAGUCGUAACAAGGUAGCCGUAUCGGAAGGUGCGGCUGGAUCACCUCCUUU
rnacentral:rRNA from 1 species